CUCACUUUUAAAGGAUACGAGCCUAAUCCAUUGGCC
rnacentral:tRNA from 1 species